rnacentral:tRNA from 1 species
UCCUCCUUAGCUCAGUUGGUAGAGCGGCGGACCGUUAAUUCGCGGGUCGCAGGUUCGAGUCCUGCAGGAGGAG